UACGUAGGGUGCGAGCGUUGUCCGGAAUUAUUGGGCGUAAAGAGCUUGUAGGCGGUUUGUCGCGUCUGCUGUGAAAAUCCGGGGCUCAACCCCGGACUUGCAGUGGGUACGGGCAGACUAGAGUGUGGUAGGGGAGACUGGAAUUCCUGGUGUAGCGGUGAAAUGCGCAGAUAUCAGGAGGAACACCAAUGGCGAAGGCAGCUCGCUGGGACGGUACUGACGCUGAGACGCGAAAGCGUGGGGAGCAAACAGG
rnacentral:rRNA from 1 species